rnacentral:rRNA from 1 species
UACAGAGGUGGCAAGCGUUGUUCGGAAUUACUGGGCGUAAAGGGCGCGUAGGCGGUCUUGUAAGUCUUGUGUGAAAUCCCUUGGCUUAACUGAGGAACUGCACGAGAUACUGCAAGACUUGAGAUCGGGAGAGGGAAGCGGAAUUCCCGGUGUAGUGGUGAAAUGCGUAGAUAUCGGGAGGAACACCAGUGGCGAAGGCGGCUUCCUGGCCUGUUCUUGACGCUGAGGCGCGAAAGCUAGGGGAGCAAACGGG